CAAUAGCGUAUAUUAAAGUUGUUGCAGUUAAAAAGCUCGUAGUUGGAUUUCUGAUCGAGACAUCAGGUCGGGUCCGAGAGGAUCAUGUACUUUGAUUUUGUUUUGAUCAUCCUUGGGGAGAGCAUUUCUGGCAUUCAGUUGUCGGGAUUGGGAUCCUCAUCGUUUACUGUGAAAAAAUUAGAGUGUUCAAAGCAGGCCUCGGCCUCUGAAUACAUUAGCAUGGAAUAUUAAGAUAGGACUUUGGUGGUCUAUUUUGUUGGUUUGCACGCCAAAGUAAUGAUUAAUAGGGAUAGUUGGGGGUAUUCGUAUUCAAUUGUCAGAGGUGAAAUUCUUGGAUUUAUGGAAGACGAACUACUGCGAAAGCAUUUACCAAGGAUGUUUUCAUUAA
rnacentral:rRNA from 1 species